rnacentral:rRNA from 1 species
AGAACGAACGCUGGCGGCGUGGCUAAGACAUGCAAGUCGUACGGAUGUAGCAAUACAUCAGUGGCGAACGGGUGAGUAAUGAAUCGCUAAUGUACCCCGGACUCUGGGAUAGCUAGCCGAAAGGUUAGGUAAUACCAGAUGAUAUAACUUUAUCGCAUGAUAAGGUUCUCAAAGGUCCGCCGGUCUGGGAGCAGGCGAUUUUGUAUCAGCUAGUUGGUGAGGUAAUGGCUCACCAAGGCGAUGACGCAUAGCCGGACUGAGAGGUUGGCCGGCCACAUUGGGACUGAGACACUGCCCAGACUCCUACGGGGGGCUGCAGUAACGAAUCUUCCGCAAUGCACGAAAGUGUGACGGAGCGACGCCGCGUGUGGGACGAAGCCCUUCGGGGUGUAAACCACGUGUCGAGGGGAUAGAAAGUUCUGAUCAUCCCCAGAGGAAGGCACGGCUAACUCUGCGCCAGCAGCCGCGGU